rnacentral:rRNA from 1 species
GAUGAACGCUAGCUACAGGCUUAACACAUGCAAGUCGAGGGGAAACGACAUCGAAAGCUUGCUUUUGAUGGGCGUCGACCGGCGCACGGGUGAGUAACGCGUAUCCAACCUGCCCACCACUUGGGGAUAACCUUGCGAGAGUAAGACUAAUACCCAAUGAUAUCUCUAGAAGACACCUGAAGGAGAGUAAAGAUUUAUGGGUGAGGGAUGGGGAUGCGUCUGAUUAGCUUGUUGGCGGGGUAACGGCCCACCAAUGCGACGAUCAGUAGGGGUUCUGAGAGGAAGGUCCCCCACAUUGGAACUGAGACACGGUCCAAACUCCUACGGGAGGCAGCAGUGAGGAAUAUUGGUCAAUGGGCGAGAGCUUGAACCAGCCAAGUAGCGUGCAGGAUGACGGCCCUAUGGGUUGUAAACUGCUUUUAUAAGGGAAUAAAGUGAGCCUCGUGAGGCUUUUUGCAUGUACCUUAUGAAUAAGGACCGGCUAAUUCCGUGCCAGCCGCCGCAGUAA